GAUGAAGAACGUAGCGAAAUGCGAUAAGUAAUGUGAAUUGCAGAAUUCAGUGAAUCAUCGAAUCUUUGAACGCACAUUGCGCCCGCCAGUAUUCUGGCGGGCAUGCCUGUCCGAGCGUCAUUUCAACCCUCGCGCCCAUCUGGGCUGCGGUGUUGGGGACCGGCCUGCCCCCCCGGGGCGCGCCGCCCCCCAAAUUCAGUGGCGGUCUCGCUGCAGCCUCCCUUGCGUAGUAGCACACCUCGCACCGGAGCGCAGCGCGGCCACGCCGUAAAACCCCCGACCCCCAUGAGUUUGACCUCGGAUCAGGUAGGAAUACCCGCUGAACUUAAGCGUAUCAAUAAGCGGAGGA
rnacentral:misc_RNA from 1 species